GAGCCGGGCCCUGGUCCUGCAGCGGUCAGCUCCCGCAGCCCGCGGGUACCUGGUGCUGUGAGCUCACCCGCUUCCAAACCCCCUUCUGCCAUGUGCAGUCUUGCACUUCUCGAGGAAGUGUUUUGCCCUACGCAAAAACAAAAAGCCUCCAUCAGCCCCGGUGGUGUCUUACGGGCAGUAGGGCUUUCAGGUACUGGUGUUCUGCGUGCUGCUUGCGUUUUGGAAAUCCUUUCGUUGCAAGGGUGACAAGGCUGUGACUUCUGCCAUCCCUGAAGUUUGUCGACACCUGGUGAUUUAGGUAACUGAAACGAGCCCCGCAAAAGCUCUUUAAACAACACUGUUACCAAUAAUCUUAAAGAAUUGCAAAGCAAUGGCAGAUGAAAUAGAAUUGAACAGAACAUGACUAGUCAAGCACUACAAAACCGACGCUGGAGUCAGUCCCUUACAGGGCACCCAUGCAACCACCUUCCUCCCAGGACAUGGGCUGCCCUGCCCUGUAACAUCUUCCAACGUGCUCCUGGCUCUGGGGAUUUGUUCAAGCCUAUUGCAGAUUUGUAAAUUUAAAUUAGGAUUUUGGAACUUGCUACUUCACAUUCUCAAAUCCCAGGUCAAACCUGUUUUUUAAUCUGAGCUGGACAGAGCUGAGUAUGUGCAAUGUGCUGGGAUUGCCUGGCAUGAUGGACCCUGCUGCCUCAUCAAGGAGGGGCGAAAGUAAGCACUGGGAGCCACGCAUGGUCCUCGACUGUCAGCUUCCAAAGGACGUGAUGAUGUAAUCGUGCACUAAAAGGUUUCAACUAUUUGAAAAACAAACAGUAAUGAUCACAAAUCUUUUGAUACAUCUCAAGGCAAUCCUAUCAGUGUGGAGCAGCAGCUGAGAGAAGCAGCUACAGCACCGCGCGUCCCGUUCGUGUUCCCCGGCUGUGUGGCAGCUGCGCCCCAGCGCUCCGCAGCCUGCCUGCGCCAUGCAGGACCGUGACCAGCGGGCAGCUCGCAGCACCCAAUGCCACGGGGAGCUGCAGGACACAGUUGCCGAAGACCUUUCAACAUCAGGCCUGGAGCCUUCGAACUCUGCCGGGGUGUGAGGCCAGCAGCUGAACCGCAUGCCUCAGGGAGGCAAACCCGGUGGUCCAGAGGCCUGGGGCCCUGCCUGUGGCCUCCUGCUGCCACAAGGCCCUGCCCCGGCCCCUGCGGUGCCACCUCCAUGGCCGCUGUGCUGCAUGGUGCCACUGCCUGGCUGCUGCAGCCACUUCCCUGCGCGGCGACGUCUGCACCUUGCAGGCCCUUCCGCUCACCUGAAAUGCUGCCAUCAAGGUACACUUUGUUCUUGCCCUGCUUUGUGUGUUCCCUGCCUGAUGCUGAGAACGAAAGCCGACGGUGCACGGAGGAUGGAUUUGGCUCUCCCAUGCCUAGUCUGCGCGCCCACCAAACGCCUGCUCUCCGGGGAGCCCGUCUGGCUGACAGGCCACAUGUAGUGCGCCCAGCCCACAGCCGCCCUGCCUCACCAUCCCGAGGGCACCGCUGCCCCAAAGAUCCUCCCUUGGUACCUCUCUGAGGUGAGAUGGAGGCCUCUAGCUGUCACCUGUGUCCAUCCUCUUUUCUGACACCUCCAGCCAUACCAGUCAAGUUAAAAUCAUGACAAAUUAAACAGGAUUGGGUCUUGCUCUUUCUUGAGCAGGCUGAUCUCUAAAGGAGACAUCUAAUCAAGACUCAUCAGUGAUUCAAGAGGUGAAACAUUUCCUCCUGUAACUACUAAACAGAAUCUGGGAUCCCUUCUUCCAGCUGAAGGAUACCGGAGUGCUGAUAUUUAGAAAUCCAGCAACCUGGCUUGGUAAUCCUGGUCAAGUGCUAAUUUGAGCAGCAUUUUUUCUAUCGUCCUCUUAUCUUCUUGCACCCUCCACAAUCUCUCACCAUCCUUUACGUUUCUCUCCCAUAAAGGCUCUGUCAUAAGAGCAGAUUAAACCUGUACACACACAGUUAUGAAUAAAUGUCUGUGAGAACA